CGCUGGCGGCGUGCUAUACAUGCAAGUCGAGCGGACAGAUGGGAGCUUGCUCCCUGAAGUCAGCGGCGGACGGGUGAGUAACACGUGGGCAACCUGCCUGUAAGACUGGGAUAACUCCGGGAAACCGGGGCUAAUACCGGAUAAUUCUUUCCCUCACAUGAGGGAAAGCUGAAAGAUGGUUUCGGCUAUCACUUACAGAUGGGCCCGCGGCGCAUUAGCUAGUUGGUGAGGUAACGGCUCACCAAGGCAACGAUGCGUAGCCGACCUGAGAGGGUGAUCGGCCACACUGGGACUGAGACACGGCCCAGACUCCUACGGGAGGCAGCAGUAGGGAAUCUUCCGCAAUGGACGAAAGUCUGACGGAGCAACGCCGCGUGAGUGAUGAAGGUUUUCGGAUCGUAAAACUCUGUUGUUAGGGAAGAACAAGUACCGGAGUAACUGCCGGUACCUUGACGGUACCUAACCAGAAAGCCACGGCUAACUACGUGCCAGCAGCCGCGGUAAUACGUAGGUGGCAAGCGUUGUCCGGAAUUAUUGGGCGUAAAGCGCGCGCAGGCGGUUCCUUAAGUCUGAUGUGAAAGCCCCCGGCUCAACCGGGGGAGGGUCAUUGGAAACUGGGGAACUUGAGUGCAGAAGAGAAGAGUGGAAUUCCACGUGUAG
rnacentral:rRNA from 2 species